UACGUAGGGUGCAAGCGUUAAUCGGAAUUACUGGGCGUAAAGCGUGCGCAGGCGGUUGUGCAAGACCGAUGUGAAAUCCCCGGGCUCAACCUGGGAAUGGCAUUGGUGACUGCACGGCUAGAGUGUGUCAGAGGGGGGUAGAAUUCCACGUGUAGCAGUGAAAUGCGUAGAGAUGUGGAGGAACACCGAUGGCGAAGGCAGCCUUCUGGGCCAACACUGACGCUCAUGCACGAAAGCGUGGGGAGCAAACAGG
rnacentral:rRNA from 1 species